UUCCAAUAAAAAAGAAGUCUCCCUAGGGUAACUACUUAAUAAGUAAAAUAUGAAAAGCACAGUAAAAAUCAUGGGAGAGAUAGGAAAAAAAGUGACUGGUUUUACUUUUAAUGAUGGAGGAAAAGAACUGCAGGGAAGUAGAGAGGAAUAUAGAGAUAAAAGCCUACGAAUUUUUCAGGGCAGAUAAUGUAACACCAAGAGCUUUGGUAAAGGAACAUGUUGUGCAAUCCUUGCACAGAUUAACAUGAAGAACAGCACAGAAACAGAUAUUGUGCAUUGCUCUACAAGUUUUACUGCCUUGUGAAAGUCAUGCACUGUGCUCAAGAGCUACUGCCAGCAUCUUCAUGAUGACCUGUUUGUACUUUCACCGACACAGAACGUUAAGCUGAAGCAGUAAAAAGAAAUCAAGAAAAAGAUAAUACAACUUCUACAUCAGGAGAUUCAUAAGAUCACAGGCUAAUUUUCAAGGAGUGUGGCUGACUGAGUUGCUGCAGAUGCUUAAGAGCUGAAGUUGUGGAGGUAGUACUUUACACUGUGGUUCUUUGUCCUCCUGAUGGAAAAAUCCAGAUGGAAAGAAGUGUAGUUCACAAGGAAAUGAUCAUGGGCCUAUUUUCUCUUGGAGUUGAGUUUGAAGAGUUUGAAUAAGCAGAAUGGACAACAAAUUAGGAAUGUAUCCUAGAGGAGUGUCUAACACAUUUGUUGCCUUCAUUUAACCAAAUCAAGGAAUGACUGGAGCAUACAAAAUUCAGAAACCUCCUACACCCUAAACAGCUGCAAAACUUUUAUUGGCCUCUACCCCAAAUGCACUGACUAAGAAUUCAAAGUUCAUCUGCAGCAUGAGAGAUGACAAACAGAAAAAUGUGAACUCCAGAAAAAUAAUCUCCAAGUCCUGAGUGCCUUUAACAUUUGUAUGGCACGCAGCCAUCUGCUUCAAAACACUGACAUUCCACAUCUAACAUCUUCUAAACAUUUAAUAGUCUGCAAGCAUGGCUUUGGUAAAGCUCUGUUACUGACCUUUUUUAGCCAGGAGUUGCCUUUGAAACAGACAGUAGGCAGAGAUCUGGCUUUCAGAUACAUUUGCCUCUCUACAUCUGUGCUUUUUUCCAGGCCCUUUUAAAUCUACUAAGGAUGAAUGUAAAAAGCAACAAACUGAUAUAUGUUCACAUUGAAUAGAGGCAAAUUUAGCUUUCUGUGCAGGAGGCACUUUUCGAGAUUCCAAGAAUUUGGAGGUUCUCCUGGCUGUUGGAAUGGUGGGCAGCUCUAAACCAAACAUUUGUGUGUAAUUAUAUAUGAACAGUAGGUGCUGUCUCAGUUGAAAUUAAUGCAUGAUUAAUUUCAAAACAAGCAACAGAAGGCAUCCUUCUAAUUGGACUAUGCCUUUGUGAUUACUUUGCAGGUAGUACUUGCUGCAAUAAUCUAAAGCAAACAUUCCCUGGCUAAUAAUAUAUUAGGUAGCAAAAGUGUAAGCUGCCAUGGAGUGCUCUAGUAGCCCAAAGCAUGGCAUUAUCGGGAAAACGCACAGCAGUUGAGAACAGGAAAUUCAUGGUAGCUUUUCUAUUUCUUCUAUUGAAAUUAGUGCUAUCAGUUCUAACUGAUGCCAUGCCUGUGACACCUUUCCAUCUCUCUAAUGAAAACAGAGCCAAAAUCAGGCUCCUUUCACAUAUCCUGAAAGAAGAAAGCUUUUACAAGGAAAACAUUACAGAAUGGAAGUUCAGCUAGCUAGGGUUCUAUAGAUACAAUAUCUCCACCUGCAAAAGAUCUUCUCAUUUCACUCAUCAGCCUGUUUUCAGGGGAUGGCUAACUAUUGAAGAAGGAUUGAACUAUUUGAAUUCUGGUACAUUUUUGUAAAUGCUAAGUGAGACAGAGUU